GAUGAACGCUGGCGGCGUGCCUAAUACAUGCGAGUCGAGCGAACAGACGAGGAGCUUGCUCCUCUGACGUUAGCGGCGGACGGGUGAGUAACAUGUGGAUAACCUACCUAUAAGACUGGGAUAACUUCGGGAAACCGGAGCUAAUACCGGAUAAUAUAUUGAACCGCAUGGUUCAAUAGUGAAAGACGGUUUUGCUGUCACUUAUAGAUGGAUCCGCGCCGCUUUAGCUAGUUGGUAAGGUAACGGCUUACCAAGGCAACGAUGCGUAGCCGACCUGAGAGGGUGAUCGGCCACACUGGAACUGAGACACGGUCCAGACUCCUACGGGAGGCAGCAGUAGGGAAUCUUCCGCAAUGGGCGAAAGCUUGACGGAGCAACGCCGCGUGAGUGAUGAAGGUCUUCGGAUCGUAAAACUCUGUUAUUAGGGAAGAACAAAUGUGUAAGUAACUAUGCACGUCUUGACGGUACCUAAUCAGAAAGCCACGGCUAACUACGUG
rnacentral:rRNA from 1 species